UACGGGGGGGGGCAAGCGUUGUUCGGAAUUACUGGGCGUAAAGGGCUCGUAGGCGGCCAACUAAGUCAUACGUGAAAUCCCUCGGCUUAACCGGGGGAACUGCGUGUGAUACUGGAUGGCUUGAGAUUGGGAGAGGGAUGCGGAAUUCCAGGUGUAGCGGUGAAAUGCGUAGAUAUCUGGAGGAACACCGGUGGCGAAGGCGGCAUCCUGGACCAACACUGACGCUGAGGAGCGAAAGCCAGGGGAGCAAACAGG
rnacentral:rRNA from 1 species